GCCAAAAUAACUCCACACUUCACGCAGCUAUGACUAAAUGUCUGGAGCUACCGAGAAACACAGGAGAGAAACACAGACUAACCCCAGAGUUCAGGAAGACAAGGGACUAAAGACGGGGAUCAGCUGUCCUCUCGGAUUCGGGACUAAGAGGGACUCAGAGGUUCACGUUUUGAAGGUAAGGGGAUUUUUCCAGGUCCUCAAUCUUCGCGCACACACUCAGACUUCCUCUGUGAGAAACUCGGAGAGAUGUGAAGCUGUUUUAUUGUAAAGUUGUGUCGGUAAACUCGGAGUGGUUUGUGUGACUCCUAUGAACUGCAGUGAGUUUAGUCGGUUAAUCGAUUGUUUGUUUUGAAAAGUUAUUUCGGUGUUUCUUUUUCCUCCAUUACGAAGUGGCUUGAAUGCGAGGAGGAGCUUGUUCUCAAACUAAUGAAAAUCAGAUGUUCUCAUUCCUGCCUGGUAUGCCUCUUAAUCUGCAACCAGAAAGGAAAGCUUAACUCCAACAGAGAGCUGCCAGACAUGGGGAUAUAUCACUGAUGUGCACACUACUUAAUAAUAGGUUACUUUAAACUAACAGACUUAGUUCUGAUGGUGGAUUUGAGGUUUUAUUAUUUUCAUAGUCGUGAUCUAAUUGUGAUUUUAUCUCAAUCAGUCUUUAUUUAUUUAUCAGUCUUUAUUUAUAAAGCACUAUUCAUUCAUGAUCAUGUAGCACAAAGUGUUUUACACAGAAAAAGGAAUAAAAGAAACAAAGAAAAUCCAAAUUUAUCCCAACCCCUCAUUCCCACCCCACGAUCUAAAAGAAACAGGAUUAAAAUGGAUCAACUUAAAAAGGGCUUGAUUUCACAGAAACAAUAAUGUGCGCAAUGAGGAAAUGUUAUUUUAAAACUCAAGAAAAGGAAACACUUAAAUCUAAAAACAAAGUAAUAUAAAAUAAAAUUUAAGAAACAAUAAAUAAAAUGAAAUAAAAACAAAAAUAAAAGAUACUAAAAUAAGAGCACCAAAAUAGCUCAAUAAAGACGAUCCAGUCAUUAAAACUAGAAAGAGAUAAAUGUUAAAAUACUUCAAGUUAGUGAUAUAAAAAUUAGUUCAAAGUAAAACUGAAAAGGUAUGUUUUGAGUUUGGUUUUAACAUCAUUAAGUUUAGUUUCAGUCCUCAGGUCUUCAGGUAAGCUGUUUCAUAGACGGGGCUGUAGUAAUAAAAAGAUGUCUCACCGUCUGUCUCGGUUAUAACUGUAGGUCAUAAUGUUAACAGAGAACUUCCUGAAAACCUGAGGACUCGACCUGACUCAGAAGGUAAAAGCAGAUCAGAUAAACAAGAUUAAGAGCUUUAAAAACCAAUAAAACAACCUGAAAAUCAAUUCUAAAAGAGAAUAUCUGAAUCAACAUUAUACUUACCAACACUCUACAGGCAAUAAUAUUAGCAGAGAACAUUUUAUGAAUGUUUUUAACAGUGUUCAAAAAAAAAAAAACACCAAAACAAAUCUGGUUAGACAUAAACCUUUUCUUGUGUUUCCAGCCUAGUUUAAACGUGUUAAACUUUCAUGGCCGAUCACAAAAAAACUACGGCCCGCAAACAAACCAAACCGUCUUGUUGGAGCAGGAUUUAAGUGGCAUGUAUCCAACAUGUGUACUCUACACUGGGUCUCCGUCAAAACCAGCCGGGCUACAUUGUGUGAUGCACUUGCUGUAACCUGUUUCCAUACAAUUUGUACAUACUGUCAUCAGAGUCUGACUGUUUCGUACGAGUAAAUCCACGCAUGCAUACACAUGUAAGCAGGCAACAACACAGGCCUGUUUGUCAAUCUUUGGUAAUGGCCUUGCUUUGCACUCAGACAAGAGCUUGACACCCUGCGGGGAAUAGACGGGGCUUGAAACUUGGCAGAAAUGCCUGUUAUGUUGUGUACCGCUGAGAGAUUCCUGAGUCACAUGCUGUGCAGAACAGUGUCGCUCCAGAAGAAAAGAGGAUAGCUGGCAUAGUGCGAGAAGUAACGAUGGCAAAGAACAGCUUGGAGCUUUAGCGACCAAAUGUAGAAUGGCGAUUCUUCGUCUGUUGUUCAGGGAUUAGUUAUCGUUUUAUCCUGUAAUUGAUAGAGUUUAUAAAUCUUUAGUGUAUAGAAAUAGUCAUCGUCAGCUCAAGAGGAUCAGUAAAGCUGCAUUCUUAAAGGCUGUUGUCUUUGGCACUACAGUUACUUUCAUGAAUAGACUGUGUCUGUGUGUGUUUGUGUGUGUGUGUGCAUAGGCAUGCCUGCACACUCUAUUGUGUGUCUUUGUAGGUAGAAAGGGUAGGCUCCUCAGUGACUAACUAGGUCGACGGAGCGGGCGAACAGGCAUCAUAAAAAGAGAUAUUUUGGGUGGGGUGAAGCUUGGAAGCAGAAGACGUGAUUAAUCUGGAGACGGUUUGCAGGUCAAAUGCCAGCACAGAAUUGAUCACCUGACUGUUUUUAAACUGAAGUGAAAAGAUUAAAACACAAUUUAUUUCAUCACUUGAGUAAAUCUGGAGAACUUGAUUUAACAAAUAUGUCAGUAUUAACAACUUAUUUCCAUAAUGCAUGAGUGUGGUCAGGAAGGCAUGGGUGCACAUUCUACUGUGUUACGUUUAUUCAGAAAAUAUCAUUUACAUUUCUUAAACUCAGAUGCUAAAUUUAAGAUUUAGUCGGAAAAAUAAUGGGAACAACCAUUCACAGAGUAAAAAAACAACAAGUCUAAGUUUGGUAAAAGUAAUAAGUUUCUCCCCAAAAAAUGGUUCUUAAGGAAAAUGCAAAUACUCAAAAAACUGAACUUAAGUGCUGUAGUGAAGUAAAUUUAACUAAUCUAUCCAAAACCUGAGGUGACAUGUUUGUAUAAACUUUUCAGAUUACACUUUCUACAGAAACUGAAGAUGAAACCGUCAAUUUAACAGAUAAUCCUCUUCGACCCGGCGGUGACACCAAGUACCAAGACUCCCUUAAAUGAUUACUCAAUACAGACGCCUCCCUCUUGUAUCUGUACAAUUAGCUUUAAUCCAGGAAUGUCAACAUCCCAUUUCACUGGUUCUCAUCACACGAGAUAGUGGUAAGCCAAAGUAAAUACCUUUGAAAUCAUAUUUUUGCAUGAAUGGGACUUUUGAAUAAUGAUUCUCCAGACACUUUAAUUAAAGAUGGGCACUGACCCACUUUAAAAGUUUUUAUUUACUUUGACCCGUGAGACCGUGUAAUACAAGGGUUAGAGUUACUCACUGUGGGAUCGCUGGGAGUUCCUUUAUUUGUGGGAUAUUAUUCAGUUUGUGUAGUCUGCACGAUGAUAGACUUAGACUGAGGUUUUAGGUAUCCGAGGGAAAAUAAUAAAAGCAAACCCCAAAGGGAAGUGUUUUGUUAUGUCAAAGGAAUGUCUGUUAUCAUUCAGUCUCCGCCAAGUUCCCCACCAAGAGCGAACAGGGAGACUAUGGGAGGAAGGAUAUGAAGGAGGACCAACAACAGUGAAACAGGAGGGUAGGAAAUGAAGAGAUGAAAUAAGUUAAAGAGAACGCGGGGAAUUGGAAAGAUGUGUAAUCUGGAAUUGCUGGUGAAAUAUAUUAAAGGAAGGGGAAAGAGGAAAGGACUGCUCGCUUCAGUCCGGCACGCCCUCCCAUUCUGCAAACUAACAAUUACUGCGUUAUAUCCCUGAAUGUCGUUUCUGCUUCCCACCAUCAGGCCUUUUCAUUUUUCAGAGUAUUUGUUAAAGUUCUGAGAUCCUUAAAACAUCAAACUGGAGUUCACAAAGGCAGUUUAGGUAAUUACCCACUCAUGGUUUCUGUCUGGGUUUAACCUGUCCGAGGAGCCAGCUGACAAUGUAAUCAGGCGCUGGAAAGAGACUGGGAAGAAAAGGGAACAUGAGGUUUUUGAAGAAACGUCUGUUUAGAGGGAAACCACAGCGAGGCAGAUCAGAAAGACUGGAAUAGAGGACGGUAUAGCUGCAGCGGCCACCAGCUGUCAGCUCCUCCAAGAUGAUUAAUGUCUGAGUUUCAACACGUGACCGUGAACAACCCUCACGACAAACUGGGUGUGUCCCUUUAAGGUGUAGCUGUGACACUUGGUACUCUGUGUAAUAACUUCUAAAAAAUUAAAUCACUCACUGUAUUCUUCUCCUUAUACGCCCCCAUCCCUGAAACCAAAAGCCGGGCCUUUGUCUUUAGUUUGUCUCGCUGCAUUUGCAGAGUAGGAAGAUGAGAUGCAAAUGGUCCUUACAGGCUGUCAUGAUGAAAAAAAAGGGUAUUACUGAGAGAAUAAAUCCACCGAAACACCAAAUAAACAAUAACAGAACAAGUAUGAAGGGAGUGAUACAACUGAAUUAGUAAUUUAGCUGUGAGUUAUCCUCUAAACAAAGGUGAUAACAACAUCUGAUAAAGGGAUGUUUUAUCUGAUGCUCGUUUUAUCUGCCUUAAACUUCACACCGCAGAAGUAACAACAAACUUCAUGAACUAAUCAGAAAACAAAUUCAUCAGCAGGAUAAAGAAGAAAACUGUUUAAUUCAGAUUAUGUACGACGGUUCAGUGAAAGUUUGCUCGUAAAAGCGGCAAACCCAGACUAUCAUCAGGGAAAAGAAAACAGGAACUGUGCAGAGGAGCGAAGACUUAAAGGGGUAAAUGAAUCACCAGGCUGAAGGGACGAGUCAGUGAGUGAGAGACCUGACCUUUGUGAGUCAGUGAGAGUGUAAUCUCCUUUUGUGUGAGCUGCUCUCGACAGCAGAGAUAAGUGUCCCGGGCUGUGUGAGUCGAAUGCCUCACUGGGAGGAGCGGCGAGGAAUGUGAGUCUGUUACCAGGCCUGAUUGAGAAACGACGGAUACAGAACACACUGUAUAAAGAGGAGUCGUUAUUAUCUGACUGAGAACUCUCAACUCUUCAAUUUGAUGACCUUGUAUAACAUGUUUUCCUCUUCGGGCUUUAUUUACUUAAUGAGAAGGAGGGUCAUUGUGAAAUCUUGGUUUAGGUUCCUCCAGUUACUGUUUGUGUUUCGUAAAAGACGCUCAAAGUGAUUAAUUUUAUGUUGUUGUGUCAUUGUUAAAACGCCUUUUUGACUAGAUUCAUCAUAAAUUUCCUUUAACGGCACAGUGAGUCAAAAUGGAAACAUCUAAACAGAUUGUGUUGAAAUGUUCCCUUACUCAUCCCUUAAGAAUAAGACGCCUCUGUCAGUAAGUUUAUACGACACUCGAGAAAACCGAAUUAUCGCCUUAUUCCGAUUAAGACCGGACAACUGAGGUUCAUGUAAACAACUUAGUCUGACUAUAAUCAGAGUUUGAGAACUUCAAUGAAGACACUCAGAUAAUACGAUUGGAAUUCGAUUUUCUCUAUCAUGUAACCAGCGUAGUCGGAGUAUGAUCGGAAAAUGCAUGUGCGCCACAUCCCUGUAACCCCGUAAGUAGCGUUCGUCUCAUCUUUAGAAAAAGUAGCGCGUCCAUCAUGGAGGACAAAAACAACGCUGUACGAUGCUCCAUCUUCUUGUUUCUCCUAAAUGCCAAGCAGCAGUUGUAGACACUUCUGACGUCUGACACCGACCUGCUGUUGUUGUUGACGGUUGUAUGGGGUCGGAAACAGCGCCGCUGAGAAAGACCCAUAUUGCCCCCUAGUUUUGGGAAGGAGGACACGUUCACGUCAAUAAUUCAAUUUUCUCAGCGGACAAGGAGAGAAGUCCGAUUCAGAGAAAAAAAGACGAAUUAUGGGCUUAGUCUGAUUAAACUGUGCAUGUGAACGUACAAGUUACAAGUUUGUCCUUUCUGUGAUGUGGUAGAAAUAUGACGAUGCACGAUGACAGCCUCCAUGGAAGUGGACCUGAUACGAUUGGCUUAUUCUGAGUUAACAAGCACAAUUGAUUUUAUAAGCAGAGGAUCUUGCAUGAACUUACAGAUACUUAUCAAUACUCUGUUUCACUUCACCGCUCAGUUUUGCAGAGCGCACACCUUUGGGCAACAAACAUUCCUUGGCCUCGUUUUAACGCAGAGUCAUCACAGCAGAAGAAACACUUUCUAAAAACCAUCAAUCACACUUCUCUCAUGACUAGUCUUGCACUUGCCGUCAGCGUCACAUUUUUCUUGGUGCGUCUUAUCAGGUCAUAAUGUAAGAAAAGAGUUUUAGUUUCUGUUUUCAGAGCAGCAGACAUGGAGACACCACUCUGUGAAAAUGUGGUUAUCACUAAGAGAGGAAAAUGCAGGGGAGGCUUGACAGGAACAGUGAAGGAGAACAACACAUCACUGUAAUUUCUUUCAAAGUAAUGCCUUUAACCCGACGAGAGCAGCGAACUGAUAAUAAAGAGUCGUGUUUGAGCAGCUGUGGUUUGUCACUGAAGUAGGGAAAAAUGCUGAGUGUUGAGUUCACACCAAAGUCCGAACAGUUGAAUCAUCAGUGACAGUAGAUUCCUUGUUCUCUGGAAACUGACCUCACUUUCUCUCCGUCUGUGUCAACAUGCUUAUAAGGGCAGAGUUCGGUGAAUAAAGGUAGGACUGAGAAUGUGGGAGGAUGGGUGUUUCAACGGACAAAACAUAAAAACAUAGACUCUUAAAUAAAAAUCACUUUUACAGAUGAAGGCCACAUGAAGAGUUGGUGUUUACUAGAGCUGUAGUCAACUGAAGAAAUUCUUGGUCGACUAAAACCCUGAAAUUUUUUGCUAAAAAAUCGCCGAAUGGUGUGUGUGUGUGCGCAAAAGAGUGAGACUUUUGUGUUAUGAUUUGAAAUAAGUCAGUCUGGGAGGGACUUGGCGAAAAUAAUGUAGCCUUUUUUAAAAUAGAUUUUUACCUUAAAUUAGCAAUAUUUAUCUUAUAACGACAUCAAACUAGUAAAGAUAUUUAAAAAGUGAACCCAUUUGCAAUAAUUUAGUAUGAUCAAACUUUGGUAACUAUAGAAGUUAUUUUUGCGCUUGCCUUAUAUUCGGACAACAUCUUGUUUCCGCCUCCGAUUUUGCUCCGGUGUGACGUCAUUUUCAGCUCCGACAUCUGACUUCCGGGGGGGGGGGGUUGAUGCGGCUCGGCAGAGCGUGGCUUGUUGGAGUGACAUUAUACUGAUAUCAGCAUAAGAAGGCAAUUAGACACAAAAGGCAACUUGAAACGCUAACAAUAAAAACAAAUAUUCAGGAAACCACCGGACGUUGAAAAAUAUGGACGCUCUUCAAUCUUCCUGUCAUCUCCAGUGGGCUGGGCGAAUCCGAAAUGGUGAAAACAGGGGGGAUGUUCUGAGAUAAGCUGUUACCUGUGAAACAGAGGUGCUCUGAAAACACCCUCCUUAUGAAAUUAACCAUUGACUGUAAAUUGAUGUGGAAAAAAAUCCAGUCGACCAAUCAGAACUUUGGUCGACUCAGCAUGUAUCGACUACUAAGUCGACCAGUUGACUUUACAUCCCUAAUGUUUACCCUGAAAAUGUCAUGAACUACAACCUUCUUAUGAUCUCUCCUCAGUACUUAAAGGUAGACUCUGUAUUUUUGUGGCAUUUAGAAGAAGAGAUUCGAUAAAUGAUGGAAAAUAACAUUUAUAAACAUGGUCAAUUUAGUGUAAAAUCACCUGCACAGAACAGAUAAACUAGUUUAACAUUUAGUGCACCUAAUUCACCAUUUGGAAGACAGAGAGGAGAGUGACUGAUGUGUACAAAAUAAUCUGUAUUGACGGUAAAGACUGAUGAAUAAAGAAUCAAUAAUUUAAUCAGUACAUUCAAAAAUCUAUCUUGUCCUCAGUAUCGGUUACUCAGAUGUGAUUUUGCGUGCGUAUUUCCCACCUCAGUAAGGCAUGCUGGGAUUUUUUUGACCUUGUCACGAUUAGUUAUGUGACCGGUGUGAACCAGCUGGCCUGUUUUCAUACAAAGCUGUCAGGGGAAUUAGUGAAGUCUGUCGUCAUCAUCCUGAUUAUUAUUGUUUGGAAUCAUGAUUGAACAGGCAGAACAUGAGUGACACUGGCGUCUGGCGUCUGAACACCUGGCACCACAGAUGACAACGUUGAGUCAGCAAGCAGGGCAGAAACAAACCAGGGACCGAGACAGCAAUGAUGUCAGUGCGGGAUGUCAUGUUCGGCAUAAAUCAUUUAAAGCAUUCCAGCGAGUGAUUGUUUUUUCGCAACUUGUCACAGUGUGAGGAAAUGUCAACAUGUUUGGACCUGACGGGCAUUUAGGUUAUGUGCUCAAAUGAAGUGUGCUUUCUGCCUGAGGGUGAGAGAGAGUGAGGAGUGUAGCUGAACAGGAACAGGUGAGGGAAAAAGUUAGCGUCAAACUCAAAAUGAUGGACGUGUAGGAACAGAGGGGGAAAAAAUGUAGGUGAAAGAAAAAAUCAGAGUCUGUUUGUAUGAAUCUCUGCGUCUGCUUUAUUUCAAUGACGGCAGAUUUUUUUUCACUUCUUUUAUGAAUGAAAAUCAGUCUCAAGUGAAAAACAGGAUUGAAUUGUGAUGUGUGUGUUGUCUGUUCUGUUUUUCAGGAGCCAAACGCUGCAGCUGUACAGCCAUGAGCUCACAGGCCACCUUUGGCAGCAACUUGUGAUGUGAGUUUCCCAAAAGUCCUUGAUUUUUUCCUGUUUUUUGUGCACAGGAGAAUUUUAACAUGAAGUAACCGUCUCUGCGAUGUCUGUCUGGUUCAUAUUCAGUCCAGAGCUCACAGGCCUCCUUUGGCAGCAACUUGCUGUGUGAGUUUCCCAAAAGUCCUCAGAUUUUUUCCUCUACUUCUACUUUU
rnacentral:lncRNA from 1 species